CCAAUUUGACUUGUAAUGGGGGGGAUACGUUCGGAAACGGACGCUAAAUACCGCAUACGUCCUACGGGAGAAAGCAGGGUUACCUUCGGGCCUUGCGCUAUCAGAUGAGCCUAGGUCGGAUUAGCUAGUUGGUGAGGUAAUGGCUCACCAAGGCUACGAUCCGUAACUGGUCUGAGAGGAUGAUCAGUCACACUGGAACUGAGACACGGUCCAGACUCCUACGGGAGGCAGCAGUGGGGAAUAUUGGACAAUGGGCGAAAGCCUGAUCCAGCCAUGCCGCGUGUGUGAAGAAGGUCUUCGGAUUGUAAAGCACUUUAAGUUGGGAGGAAGGGCAUUAACCUAAUACGUUAGUGUUUUGACGUUACCGACAGAAUAAGCACCGGCUAACUCUGUGCCAGCAGCCGCGGUAAUACAGAGGGUGCAAGCGUUAAUCGGAAUUACUGGGCGUAAAGCGCGCGUAGGUGGCUAAGUCAGCCAGGUGUGAAAGCCCCGGGCUCAACCUGGGAACGGCAUCUGGAACUGCUUGGCUAGAGUGCAGGAGAGGAAGGUAGAAUUCCCGGUGUAGCGGUGAAAUGCGUAGAGAUCGGGAGGGAAUACCAGUGGCGAAGGCGGCCUUCUGGACUGACACUGACACUGAGGUGCGAAAGCGUGGGUAGCAAACAGGAUUAGAAUACCCUGGGUAGUCCACGCCGUAAAACGAUGUCAACUAGCCGUUGGGUCCCCUUGAGGACUUAGUGGCGCAGCUAACGCAAUAAAGUUUGACCGGCCUGGGGAGUACGGCCGCAAGGUUUAAAACUCAAAUGAAAUUGAACGGGGCCCGCACAAGCGGUGGAGCAUGUGGUUUAAUUCGAUGCACCGCCGAAAAACCUAUACCUACCCUUGACAAUCCAGAGGACUUUCCAGAAGAUGGAAUAGGUGCCUUCGGGAAACUUCUGAAACCAGGUGGCCUGCAAGGCCUGUCCGUCCGCCUCAGAUG
rnacentral:rRNA from 1 species